rnacentral:misc_RNA from 1 species
UACGGAAGGUGCGAGCGUUAAUCGGAAUUACUGGGCGUAAAGCGUGCGUAGGCGGCCCUGUGUGUCGGAUGUGAAAGCCCCGGGCUUAACCUGGGAAUUGCAUUCGAAACUGCAGAGCUCGAGUGUGGUAGAGGAAGAUGGAAUUCCACGUGUAGCGGUGAAAUGCGUAGAUAUGUGGAGGAACACCGAUGGCGAAGGCAGUCUUCUGGGCCAACACUGACGCUGAGGCACGAAAGCGUGGGUAGCGAACAGG